UCAUUAUUUACAUUUGAGUGAGUGGCGAACUGGUGAGUAACACGUGGGAAACCUGCCCAGAAGCGGGGGAUAACACCUGGAAACAGAUGCUAAUACCGCAUAACAACUUGGACCGCAUGGUCCGAGCUUGAAAGAUGGCUUCGGCUAUCACUUUUGGAUGGUCCCGCGGCGUAUUAGCUAGAUGGUGGGGUAACGGCUCACCAUGGCAAUGAUACGUAGCCCGACCCUGAGAGGGUAAUCGGCCACAUUGGGACUGAGACACGGCCCAAACUCC
rnacentral:rRNA from 1 species